GCCUACGGGAGGCAGCAGUGGGGAAUAUUGCACAAUGGGGGAAACCCUGAUGCAGCGACGCCGCGUGAAGGAAGAAGUAUUUCGGUAUGUAAACUUCUAUCAGCAGGGAAGAAAAUGACGGUACCUGACUAAGAAGCCCCGGCUAACUACGUGCCAGCAGCCGCGGUAAUACGUAGGGGGCAAGCGUUAUCCGGAUUUACAGGGUGUAAAGGGAGCGUAGGCGGUGCAGCAAGUCAGAAGUGAAAGCCCGGGGCUCAACUCCGGGGCUGCUUUUGAAACUGUUGAACUAGAUUGCAGGAGAGGUA
rnacentral:rRNA from 1 species